UACAGAGGUCUCAAGCGUUGUUCGGAUUCAUUGGGCGUAAAGGGUGCGUAGGUGGCGGGGUUAGUCAGGUGUGAAAUCUCGAGGCUCAACCUUGAAACUGCACUUGAUACUGCCUUGCUUGAGUACUGGAGAGGAGAUUGGAAUUUACGGUGUAGCAGUGAAAUGCGUAGAUAUCGUAAGGAAGACCAGUGGCGAAGGCGAAUCUCUGGACAGUUACUGACACUGAGGCACGAAGGCCAGGGGAGCAAACGGG
rnacentral:rRNA from 1 species